rnacentral:rRNA from 1 species
AUCUAAAGCCUUACCACUGUGAUAGCACCAUCAUCUGAUCUCUGAAGCUAAGAAGGGUUGGCCUAGUUAGAAUUUGAAUGAGAGAUUGUCUGGGAGUAUUGGCUUUUGUUU